rnacentral:sRNA from 1 species
UGGGCACAGGGACGGUUCGGCGCUGCCGUG